GGAGGGUUCGCAUAGUGGUCUAGUGCACCACCUUGGAAAGGUGGCAUGCCCGAAAGGGCAUCGAGAGUUCAAAUCUCUCACCCUCCG
rfam:Parcubacteria bacterium GW2011_GWA2_49_9 TY50_C0010, whole genome shotgun sequence.